rnacentral:rRNA from 1 species
UACGGGGGGGGCAAGCGUUGUUCGGAAUUACUGGGCGUAAAGGGCUCGUAGGCGGCCAACUAAGUCAGACGUGAAAUCCCUCGGCUUAACCGGGGAACUGCAUCUGAUACUGGAUGGCUUGAGUUCGGGAGAGGUGAGUGGAACUGCGAGUGUAGAGGUGAAAUCGUAGAUAUUCGCAAGAACACCAGUGGCGAAGGCGGCUCACUGGCCCGGUACUCGACGCUGAGG